GAUGAACGCUGGCGGCGUGCUUAAUACAUGCAAGUCGAACGGAAAGGCGAGGAUCUUGCUCCUCUGACGUUAGCGGCGGACGGGUGAGUAACACGUGGAUCACCCACCUAUAUGACUGGGAUAACUUCGGGAAACCGGCGAUAAUACCGUAUAAUAUAUUGAACCGCAUGGUUCAAUAGUGAAAGACGGUUUUGCUGUCACUUAUAGAUGGAUCUGCGCCGCAUUAGCUAGUUGGUACGGUAACAGCUUUCCAAGGCGACGAUGCGUAGACGACCUGAGAGGGUGAUCGGCCACACUGGAACUGAGACACGGUCCAGACUCCUACGGGAGGCAGCAGUAGGGAAUCUUCCGCAAUGGGCGAAAGCCUGACGGAGCAACGCCGCGUGAGUGAUGAAGGUCUUGGGAUCGUAAAACUCGGUUAUUAGGGAAGAACAAAUGUGUAAGUAACUAUGCACGUCUUGACGGUACCUAAUCAGAAAGCCACGGCUAACUACGUG
rnacentral:rRNA from 1 species